GGGUUGUGAGGUUAAGCGACUAAGCGUACACGGUGGAUGCCCUGGCAGUCAGAGGCGAUGAAGGACGUGCUAAUCUGCGAUAAGCGUCGGUAAGGUGAUAUGAACCGUUAUAACCGGCGAUUUCCGAAUGGGGAAACCCAGUGUGUUUCGACACACUAUCAUUAACUGAAUCCAUAGGUUAAUGAGGCGAACCGGGGGAACUGAAACAUCUAAGUACCCCGAGGAAAAGAAAUCAACCGAGAUUCCCCCAGUAGCGGCGAGCGAACGGGGAGCAGCCCAGAGCCUGAAUCAGUGUGUGUGUUAGUGGAAGCGUCUGGAAAGGCGCGCGAUACAGGGUGACAGCCCCGUACACAAAAAUGCACAUGCUGUGAGCUCGAUGAGUAGGGCGGGACACGUGGUAUCCUGUCUGAAUAUGGGGGGACCAUCCUCCAAGGCUAAAUACUCCUGACUGACCGAUAGUGAACCAGUACCGUGAGGGAAAGGCGAAAAGAACCCCGGCGAGGGGAGUGAAAAAGAACCUGAAACCGUGUACGUACAAGCAGUGGGAGCACGCUUAGGCGUGUGACUGCGUACCUUUUGUAUAAUGGGUCAGCGACUUAUAUUCUGUAGCAAGGUUAACCGAAUAGGGGAGCCGAAGGGAAACCGAGUCUUAACUGGGCGUUAAGUUGCAGGGUAUAGACCCGAAACCCGGUGAUCUAGCCAUGGGCAGGUUGAAGGUUGGGUAACACUAACUGGAGGACCGAACCGACUAAUGUUGAAAAAUUAGCGGAUGACUUGUGGCUGGGGGUGAAAGGCCAAUCAAACCGGGAGAUAGCUGGUUCUCCCCGAAAGCUAUUUAGGUAGCGCCUCGUGAAUUCAUCUCCGGGGGUAGAGCACUGUUUCGGCAAGGGGGUCAUCCCGACUUACCAACCCGAUGCAAACUGCGAAUACCGGAGAAUGUUAUCACGGGAGACACACGGCGGGUGCUAACGUCCGUCGUGAAGAGGGAAACAACCCAGACCGCCAGCUAAGGUCCCAAAGUCAUGGUUAAGUGGGAAACGAUGUGGGAAGGCCCAGACAGCCAGGAUGUUGGCUUAGAAGCAGCCAUCAUUUAAAGAAAGCGUAAUAGCUCACUGGUCGAGUCGGCCUGCGCGGAAGAUGUAACGGGGCUAAACUAUGCACCGAAGCUGCGGCAGCGACGCUUAUGCGUUGUUGGGUAGGGGAGCGUUCUGUAAGCCUGUGAAGGUGUGCUGUGAGGCAUGCUGGAGGUAUCAGAAGUGCGAAUGCUGACAUAAGUAACGAUAAAGCGGGUGAAAAGCCCGCUCGCCGGAAGACCAAGGGUUCCUGUCCAACGUUAAUCGGGGCAGGGUGAGUCGACCCCUAAGGCGAGGCCGAAAGGCGUAGUCGAUGGGAAACAGGUUAAUAUUCCUGUACUUGGUGUUACUGCGAAGGGGGGACGGAGAAGGCUAUGUUGGCCGGGCGACGGUUGUCCCGGUUUAAGCGUGUAGGCUGGUUUUCCAGGCAAAUCCGGAAAAUCAAGGCUGAGGCGUGAUGACGAGGCACUACGGUGCUGAAGCAACAAAUGCCCUGCUUCCAGGAAAAGCCUCUAAGCAUCAGGUAACAUCAAAUCGUACCCCAAACCGACACAGGUGGUCAGGUAGAGAAUACCAAGGCGCUUGAGAGAACUCGGGUGAAGGAACUAGGCAAAAUGGUGCCGUAACUUCGGGAGAAGGCACGCUGAUAUGUAGGUGAAGUCCCUCGCGGAUGGAGCUGAAAUCAGUCGAAGAUACCAGCUGGCUGCAACUGUUUAUUAAAAACACAGCACUGUGCAAACACGAAAGUGGACGUAUACGGUGUGACGCCUGCCCGGUGCCGGAAGGUUAAUUGAUGGGGUCAGCGCAAGCGAAGCUCUUGAUCGAAGCCCCGGUAAACGGCGGCCGUAACUAUAACGGUCCUAAGGUAGCGAAAUUCCUUGUCGGGUAAGUUCCGACCUGCACGAAUGGCGUAAUGAUGGCCAGGCUGUCUCCACCCGAGACUCAGUGAAAUUGAACUCGCUGUGAAGAUGCAGUGUACCCGCGGCAAGACGGAAAGACCCCGUGAACCUUUACUAUAGCUUGACACUGAACAUUGAGCCUUGAUGUGUAGGAUAGGUGGGAGGCUUUGAAGUGUGGACGCCAGUCUGCAUGGAGCCGACCUUGAAAUACCACCCUUUAAUGUUUGAUGUUCUAACGUUGACCCCUAAUCGGGGUUGCGGACAGUGUCUGGUGGGUAGUUUGACUGGGGCGGUCUCCUCCUAAAGAGUAACGGAGGAGCACGAAGGUUGGCUAAUCCUGGUCGGACAUCAGGAGGUUAGUGCAAUGGCAUAAGCCAGCUUGACUGCGAGCGUGACGGCGCGAGCAGGUGCGAAAGCAGGUCAUAGUGAUCCGGUGGUUCUGAAUGGAAGGGCCAUCGCUCAACGGAUAAAAGGUACUCCGGGGAUAACAGGCUGAUACCGCCCAAGAGUUCAUAUCGACGGCGGUGUUUGGCACCUCGAUGUCGGCUCAUCACAUCCUGGGGCUGAAGUAGGUCCCAAGGGUAUGGCUGUUCGCCAUUUAAAGUGGUACGCGAGCUGGGUUUAGAACGUCGUGAGACAGUUCGGUCCCUAUCUGCCGUGGGCGCUGGAGAACUGAGGGGGGCUGCUCCUAGUACGAGAGGACCGGAGUGGACGCAUCACUGGUGUUCGGGUUGUCAUGCCAAUGGCACUGCCCGGUAGCUAAAUGCGGAAGAGAUAAGUGCUGAAAGCAUCUAAGCACGAAACUUGCCCCGAGAUGAGUUCUCCCUGACCCUUUAAGGGUCCUGAAGGAACGUUGAAGACGACGACGUUGAUAGGCCGGGUGUGUAAGCGCAGCGAUGCGUUGAGCUAACCGGUACUAAUGAACCGUGAGGCUUAACCUUACAACGCCGAAGCUGUU
rnacentral:rRNA from 1 species